rnacentral:tRNA from 1 species
AGUUUUGUAGUAGAAUUACAUCAAGUUGCAAACUUGAGAAAGGGAUAUAGAUUCCCCGGAACUU